rnacentral:misc_RNA from 1 species
UGGGCUUGAACCGCUACUGUCCCUUGCGGGAAGAGGAUAUUUCUACCCUUGGUCAGUAGCGGUUCAAGCCCAGGUAAGGUUCUUCGCGUUGCGUCGAAUUGAACCACAUGUUCCACCGCUUGUGCGGGCCCCCGUCAAUUCCUUUGAGUUUCAGUCUUGCGACCGUACUCCCCAGGCGCAGAACUUAACGCGUUAGCUACGGGACGACCCGCCUACGCGGGCCACCCCAAGUUCUGAUGGUUUAGGGCUAGGACUAC